rnacentral:pre_miRNA from 1 species
UGUUGGAGUUCCUUCGGUGUGGUGUUGCAAUAUUUGUGAUGCUAAUAUGGUCUUGUCAAUGUUUAGGGGCAAAGGCCUGAUUAUGCAGAUGCUUGGUGUAAGCUUAUGCUUGUACAACUUUUGCUAUUGGCCUCCACCCCUAAAUCUUGGCAAGACCUAAUUAGCCCACAACAUUGAAUUGACCGGGACCGGCGACUAAUCAGUACGAGCUCAAGCAGGA